rnacentral:rRNA from 1 species
CCCAAGGGCUGAAGUGUCUCCCCUUUCUAUUCAGUGAAUUUGACCUCUUCCUGAAGAAUCGAAAAUUUAAAAAUAAAACAAUAAUACCCCGGGGAGCUUAAAACCAAGUAGCACACUUUUUCUAAUACACCUUAAAAAAUAGGAAACCUGUUUCUUAGUUUUUGGCUGGGGCAUCCAAGGAGUAUAAUCUAACCCCCCUGACAAAAAUCUAAAAAUUUCAACUCUAACAGGCCUUAAACUGAAGUAAAAAGACCCGAAUAUCAAUCAACAAACCAAUUUACCCUGGGGAUAACAGCGCAAUCCAUUUUGAAAGCCCCUAUCGACGAAUGGGUUUACAACCUCGAUGUUGGAUCAGGGUAUCCCAUUGGUGCAGCCCCUACUAAAGGUUCGUUUGUUCAACGAUUAAAACCCUACGUGAUCUGAUUUCAAACCGG